GUUAAUAUGGGCAUGUCCAC
rnacentral:siRNA from 1 species